GUGAUGAUAUGCAGAAACAGAGCUAACAGAGCUCCAGCUUGUAUUAUAAAACUUACUGUGUGUGUGUGUGUGUGCGCGCGUGUGUGUGUGAAGCUCUCUGCCUCAGUAGCAUGAAGCUGGAGGAGCAGGGCCUUCCAUCAUCUUCACCCUGUCAGCGCAAAGACAAAGAGCUGCCUCCGAGCAACCAGAGCUGGUCAUAGUAGAAAAAAUGCUGUCCUCAAAUGAGCUGCAAACUGUUGUCCAGGCAGUUUGAUCCACCUGAAUAAAGUGCAGUGAGACAGCAAACCAAACCAGAUGAAGGUGCAACAUUUCUCUGCGGUCCCCCACCCAAUCAAACUCCACCCGAACUAUCCUGGUGUAGAUCCACCCAAAGUAUCCAUGAUGGGGUCUGAUACGGCUGAUUUUAGGUUUACAUUUCUGCUUUUCCUUUUUGUGAUCUUCAUGGGGUUUCAUAUAUUACGUUGCAUCUCGCCAUGAUCCUCAGCAUUUCACCACAGAACACUGAACCCAGGAUAUGAGCUGAGGCCUCAGGAAGUGACUCCAGAAGGAAGAAUAGUUUAUGGGCAAAGAUUACAGAAAGCUCAGCAAACUUUGCCCAGAGAACCGCAGCUGGAGCAAUGCAGCUAAGAACGGACUGACCCUGAUUGGGUGUCUUUGUUAGUUUAAAUGGUCUUUUCUAGAUUGUUUUUCUCACAUCGAGCACUAGCUCUCUGUGUGUCUUACUAUUCAACUUUGCCGUGUUUAUUGAUGUGUAUUCUUGUUUUUGCUCUUGUUAUUUCUUCGCCAACUCACUGCCGUCUGUUCCUCAGCUUGAAAGUGUCUGACUCUGCUUGUUCGGACCAGUGUGAAAGCUUGCUUGAUGGAAAUGCAAAUGCUGUCCUCAAUGUCUACCCUCAUCUUCAUGUACAAACCCGAGAACAGGAACUAUAAUUAAACUAUUAUUCAAAUUAUAAAAAGAGAGAAUAUCGUGCUCACUUGUAUUUUGUCUUGUGUAUGUAUCAGGUUCAGCUACUGUAUAUCCAUCAGCAAAUGUACUGUAUGGCUUGUAAGAAGAGCAAAUGUGGAUGGAUUGUACACAUAUUCCUCUCUUUACUCUUCCCUUCCAAAGAGCAGAAAUUCCUGGCCAAAGAGGAGCCUGUCCUGAGCCAAGGGGACCUGCCCUUUGCACCCUCCUCCUGUUCGUGCUUUGAUUUCCAAUAUGUCCUCCCAUCACCACAGAUGAAGGCAGAGGAAACAUUUCCUCAACUGGCAUUGCUAGCAAGACCCAGGGGCAGCCGAAGUGGAUAGGAGGCAGAAAUUGGAGAAUAAUGUAAUAGAAUAUUUGAUUGGGCUGUGAUGGGUAGGACACUGGGAAGUCUGCCAUAGUAAUGUGUCUGAGCCUGGCCGGAAAUGUGCAUUUAUUUCCUCUCUCCUCCUAUUUCUCAUUUUCAUCCAGUUGCAGGUUGUGAUUUGAUAAUAGGACGCUGCUGCUUGGCAAUGUGGCCUGCAAACCCAGUUCCUUUAGAACUAGAAUUCUGAGCUUCCUGCUGUGAGGCAUCCAUUUAAACACUGGUAGUUAAAAGAGAUGAGAAUCCUUCUAUGUGCCAGUUUUAUGCAAAAUGGGAGAAGUGACCUUAAUGAAUUAUUCCUGAUUAGAAAUACAUAAUUCAUUUACCACAUUGCAAUUGGGUUAAAAGUUAUGCAGCCAUUACACUUUACCAUUGCUGUGUAGAAGCUGGUAAAUACCAGUUGAUAAUUUGUGUGAGGUGAGGGCCAAACUGUAGUUUGGUGUGGUUGGCGUUGCUUCAACUGUUUGUAACCUGUAGUCUGUGAACUUUUUAGGGGGAUAACCAUCUUUUUUUUUUUUUUUUUGGUUUAUGUGCAAAUGUAAUUGUUAACAAAGUGCUCUAUGGUGACAUGUCUUAAGUCUGUCAAUCCUGUAAUUAGCAUGUAGAAUGUCAGAUUAUAAAUCACAGAAUAGCUUCUAUUCA